UGACUGGCUUCAAUUUUUACCAAGACGUGGUGGAGUUCACGUGCGACUCUGGAUAUGAGAUGGUUGGAAGCGUCAGUUUGACUUGUCAAGCAGAUCGCACAUGGACUGGGAUUGAACCAACAUGUAUACGUAUAUGGUGUCCGAUGUUGCCGACUCCUACAAAUGGUGGUUUUAGUGGCACCAACUUCUACAUGGACACGGUGCUCUUCACGUGCGACUCAGGCUAUGCUCUGAUCGGAGAUUCCAGUUCCACCUGUCAGGCAGAUCGGUCCUGGAGUAGCAACUUCCCUUCCUGCAGUGAAAUUGAUGAAUGCUUAGCAGCAAAUGGUGGCUGUGACCAUACUUGUACCAACACCGCCGGAUCAUUUUACUGUUCCUGCGUAGCUGGCUACAACUUGAACGCAGACGGCUUUACUUGUGAUG